UAUCAAAUGGAAUAGACUUGAUGAUGCCAAUGGUUUUAAGCUUGAGUUCUUUUUUGAGACAAAUCCCUAUUUCAGCAACAAUGUGCUGACAAAGACGUAUCACAUGAUCAGCGAAGAUGAACAUAUUCUAGAGAAUGCAAUAGGGACAGAGAUAGAAUGGUUUCUGGGGAAAUGUUUGACACAGAAGAUCCUAAAGAAGAAGCCAAAGAAAGGAUCCAACGAUACGAAGCUAAUCAUAAAAACUGAGGAAUGUGAAAGUUUCUUUCAUUUUUUUGAUCCACCUCAACUACCUGAGGAUGCAGAAGAACUUGAUGAGGAAACUGCUGAAUUGCUUCAAGGUCAGAUGGAACAAGAUUAUGAGAUUGGGUCCACCAUUCGAGAAAAGAUUAUUCCUCAUGCUGUGUCUUGGUUUACUGGAGAGGCCGUUCCCAUUGAUGACGACGAAGAAGAAGGUGAUGAUGACGAGGAAGAGGAAGAUUAUGUGGAAGAGAAUGAUGAAGAAGAGGAUGAUGAGAAUGAGGAUGAGAAAGGCAAUGAAGAAAAUGUUAAAGAAAAGCAUUAAGGAUGGCAGUGAAGAAACUAGAGGACAGUAAGAGGUCUCAGACGCUGAAUUGAACCUCUGUUGUGAUUGUAUUGCGGAAACCAUUUGCUAAAUUUAUAGA
rnacentral:misc_RNA from 1 species